rnacentral:rRNA from 1 species
UACGUAGGGGGCAAGCGUUGUCCGGAUUUAUUGGGCGUAAAGAGCGUGUAGGCGGCCAGGUAGGUCUGCUGUGAAAACUCGAGGCUUAACCUCGAGCUGUCGGCGGAAACCAUCUGGCUAGAGUCCGGAAGAGGAGAAUGGAAUUCCCGGUGUAGCGGUGAAAUGCGCAGAUAUCGGGAAGAACACCCGUGGCGAAGGCGACUUUCUGGCCUGUUCUUGACGCUGAGGCGCGAAAGCUAGGGGAGCAAACGGG